rnacentral:rRNA from 1 species
UUCCUACGGGAGGCAGCAGUGGGGAAUCUUGGUCAAUGGGCGCAAGCCUGAACCAGCGAUGCCGCGUGAGUGAUGAAGGCCUUCGGGUUGUAAAGCUCUGUGGGGAGGGACGAAAGAAUCGGUUCUAACAGGACCGAAGUUGACGGUACCUCCUUAGCAAGCACCGGCUAACUCUGUGCCAGCAGCCGCGGUAAGACAGAGGGUGCAAACGUUGCUCGGAAUCACUGGGCGUAAAGGGCGUGUAGGCGGGUAGGCAAGUCGGGCGUGAAAUCCCUGAGCUCAACUCAGGAACUGCACUCGAAACUGCUUAUCUUGAGUGCCGGAGAGGAAAGCGGAAUACCUGGUGUAGAGGUGAAAUUCGUAGAUAUCAGGUGGAACACCAGUGGCGAAGGCGGCUUUCUGGACGGUAACUGACGCUGAGACGCGAAAGCGUGGGGAGCAAACAGGAUUAGAUACCCUGGUAGUCCACGCUGUAAACGAUGAGUGCUAGGUGUCGUGGGUAUUGACCCCCGCGGUGCCGUAGCUAACGCAUUAAGCACUCCGCCUGGGAAGUACGGUCGCAAGACUAAAACUCAAAGGAAUUGACGGGGGCCCGCCAAGCUGUGUCGUGAGCAUGUUGGUUUAAUUCCCGCAACG